rnacentral:rRNA from 1 species
AGAUACCCUGGUAGUCCACGCCGUAAACGAUGUCGACUUGGAGGUUGUGCCCUUGAGGCGUGGCUUCCGGAGCUAACGCGUUAAGUCGACCGCCUGGGGAGUACGGCCGCAAGGUUAAAACUCAAAUGAAUUGACGGGGGCCCGCACAAGCGGUGGAGCAUGUGGUUUAAUUCGAUGCAACGCGAAGAACCUUACCUACUCUUGACAUCCAGAGAACUUAGCAGAGAUGCUUUGGUGCCUUCGGGAACUCUGAGACAGGUGCUGCAUGGCUGUCGUCAGCUCGUGUUGUGAAAUGUUGGGUUAAGUCCCGCAACGAGCGCAACCCUUAUCCUUUGUUGCCAGCGGUUCGGCCGGGAACUCAAAGGAGACUGCCAGUGAUAAACUGGAGGAAGGUGGGGAUGACGUCAAGUCAUCAUGGCCCUUACGAGUAGGGCUACACACGUGCUACAAUGGCAUAUACAAAGAGAAGCGACCUCGCGAGAGCAAGCGGACCUCAUAAAGUAUGUCGUAGUCCGGAUUGGAGUCUGCAACUCGACUCCACGAAGUCGGAAUCGCUAGUAAUCGUGGAUCAGAAUGCCACGGUGAAUACGUUCCCGGGCCUUGUACACACCGCCCGUCACACCAUGGGAGUGGGUUGCAAAAGAAGUAGGUAGCUUAACCUUCGGGAGGGCGCUUACCACUUUGUGAUUCAUGACUGGGGGUGAAGUCGUAACAA